rnacentral:rRNA from 1 species
UACGUAGGCAGCAAGCGUUGUUCGGAGUUACUGGGCGUAAAGAGUGCGUAGGCGGUUUUCUAAGUUUGGUGUGAAAUCUCCCGGCUCAACUGGGAGGGUGCGCCGAAAACUGGAAGGCUUGAGUAUGGGAGAGGUAAGCGGAAUUCCUGGUGUAGCGGUGAAAUGCGUAGAUAUCAGGAGGAACACCGAUGGCGAAGGCAGUGUUCUGGGCCAGUACUGACGCUGAGGAGCGAAAGCGUGGGGAGCAAACAGG